rnacentral:rRNA from 1 species
GACGAACGCUGGCGGCGUGCUUAACACAUGCAAGUCGAACGGAAAGGCCCUGCUUUUGUGGGGUGCUCGAGUGGCGCACGCGUGAGUAACACGUGAGUAACCUGCCCUUGACUUUGGGAUAACUUUACGAAACUGGGGCUCAUACCGGAUAGGAGCUCCUGCUGCAUGGUGGGGGUUGGAAAGUUUCGGCGGUUGGGGAUGGACUCGAGGGUUAUCCGCUUGUUUGUGGGGUAGUGGAUUACCAAGGCUUAGACGGGUAGCCGGCCUGGGAGGGUGGCCGGGCACCAUGGGACUGAGGGACGGCCCAGACUCCUACGGGAGGCAGUAGUGGGGAAUAUUGCACAAUGGGCGGAAGCCUGAGACGGCAAUCCCGCGAUCGGGAUGACGGCCUUCGGGGUAUAAACCGCUUUCGACGGUGACGAGGCGUGAGUGACGGUAAUGGGUAAAGAAGCACCGGCUAACUACGUG